GACGAACGCUGGCGGCGUGCCUAAUACAUGCAAGUCGAACGAAGUGGCGCACGGGUGAGUAACGCGUAAUCAACCUGCCCUUCAGAGGGGGACAACAGUUGGAAACGACUGCUAAUACCGCAUACUGAAGGAGGGGAUUGCGUCUGAUUAGCUCGUUGGAGGGGUAACGGCCCACCAAGGCGAUGAUCAGUAGCCGGGCUGGGAGGGUGGACGGCCAAAUUGGGACUGAGGCACGGCCCAGACUCCUACGGGGGGGAGCCAGGGGGAAUCUUCGGCAAUGGACGCAAGUCUGGAGGAGCAACGCCGGGUGAGGGAUGACGGGCUUCGGGUUGUAAAGCUCUGUUAAGCGGGACGCGGUACCGGAAUAGAAAGCCACGGCUAACUACGUGCCAGCAGCCGCGGUAAUUC
rnacentral:rRNA from 1 species